ensembl:lncRNA novel transcript
AUUGGCUGAGUGCCCGCAAUGUGCCAGCUAUUGAGCUAAACUUGGGAUGCUAGAAAAGACAAUCCCUUUUCUGGAUUAGGAAGUUUACAUUUUAAAGAUGCAAGAAGGCACUAAACAAGGGCAGUGAGGUACAACAAGCUCUGUGGUUUUAUUUCUCCUAAAUGGGAGGAAACAUAGAGAGGAAGAAAAGUAUGCAAUCUCAGUUGCAAAUGGAGGCAGGGGCUCACCAUGUUCUCUGAUACGAUUGUACCGCCCAUUGGUAAGAAUCAGAGGCUGAAAAGAUUCUGUUACUGAAACUCAACACUUAGUUGAUACCUGCUACAACUUUAACUACUCGUUGACUGUUUACGGCUUUUGCUGUAAGUUGGAGUAUGGUGACAAACACACAAGAGUCUAAAAACUCAAACGUAUCUAAAAGCCAUGACACAGAAGGCCUGGAGACUGCAUGGAAUGAUGAGGACUGCAGUGAACUCUGAAGUGCCUACCCAUGUGAAACGAACAAGUGCUAUUCGGAAGAAGCAGGUUGUGUUAAUGUAGGUGUCCAAGCCUAGAAUCAUGAAAUUAUAUUUUUAAGAGAAAAA